AUUGAACGCUGGCGGCAGGCCUAACACAUGCAAGUCGAGCGAGCGGCGGACGGGUGAGUAAUGUCUGGGAAACUGCUUGAUGGAGGGGGAUAACUACUGGAAACGGAAGCUAAUACCGCAUACCAUCAGAUGUGCCCAGGUGGGAUUAGCUAGUAGGUGGGGUAACGGCUCACCUAGGCGACGAUCCCUAGCUGGUCUGAGAGGAUGACCAGCCACACUGGAACUGGGACACGGUCCAGACUCCUACGGGAGGCAUCAGUGGGGAAUAUUGCACAAUGGGCGCAAGCCUGAUGCAGCCAUGCCGCGUGUGUGAAGAAGGCCUUCGGGUUGUAAAGCACUUUCAGCGGGGAGGCGUUACCCGCAGAAGAAGCGCCGGCUAAGUCCGUGCCAGCAGCCGCGGUAAUAC
rnacentral:rRNA from 1 species